CCCCCGGUAGCUCAGCCUGGUAGAGCGCCCGGCUGUAGACCGGGUGGUCGCAGGUUCAAAUCCUGCCCGGGGGACCA
rnacentral:tRNA from 2 species